AGAGCCAGCAUGGGAUGGCGGGGCUGGACGUCUCAGGCACGAUCAGGCCCACGGGAAAGUCGGAGGUCAGGGCGCCAGGGCCUCUGGUUGGGGGCUUCAGAGGCGUUGCAGUCGACUCCUGGAGCAGAGGAUUCAAGUCUGCAAAAUAGAGGGGAGACCCCUAGGAGCUUGGGGACUGCGGAGGCCCCUAGGCCCAGGUGAGUCAUGCCAGGCUGCGCUCCAGAGGGCAGACAGGAGGUGAUGUGGGCCUCAGGGCUCUGAUGGUAGCAGCUGCUGGAGAAAGAGUGGCAUCAAAGUGGAACUGGGAGAGGGCUGGGGCCAGCUGCGAUGCAGGGAUGGGUGAGGUGCUGGC
rnacentral:lncRNA from 1 species